rnacentral:misc_RNA from 1 species
GAAAUGCGAUAAGUAAUGUGAAUUGCAGAAUUCAGUGAAUCAUCGAAUCUUUGAACGCACCUUGCGCUCCUUGGUAUUCCGAGGAGCAUGCCUGUUUGAGUAUCAUGGAAUUCUCAACUCCCAAAUUUUUUUAAUUAAAAGUUUGGUGAGCUUGGAUGUGGAGGAUCAGUGUUGGCUCAUUAUUUAGAGUCGACUCCUCUGAAAUACAUUAGCGUGAAUCUUACGGAUCGCCUUCAGUGUGAUAAUUGUCUACUCUGUGGUCGUGAAGUAUCUAUGUGUUCAUGCUUAUAACUGUCUCUCUGAGACAAUUAUUUUAUGACUUCUGAUCUCAAAUCAGGUAGGACUACCCGCUGAACUUAA